rnacentral:rRNA from 1 species
CCUACGGGUGGCAGCAGUGAGGAAUAUUGGUCAAUGGACGCAAGUCUGAACCCGCCAUGCCGCGUGCAGGAAGACGGCUCUCUGAGUUGUAAACUGCUUUUGUACGAGGGUAAAUUCCGGUACGCGUACCGGGCUGAAAGUAUCUUACGAAUAAGGAUCGGCUAACUCCGUGCCAGCAGCCGCGGUAAUACGGAGGAUUCAAGCGUUAUCCGGAUUUAUUGGGUUUAAAGGGUGCGUAGGCGGUUCGGUAAGUUAGAGGUGAAAUCCCGGGGCUGAACUCCGGCACUGCCUCUGAUACUGGCGAGCUAGAGUUGAGUAGCGGUAGGCGGAAUGUAUGGUGUAGCGGUGAAAUGCAUAGAGAUCAUACAGAACACCGAGUGCGAAGGCAGCUUACCGGACUACGACUGACGUUGAGGCACGAAAGCGUGGGGAGCAAACAGGAUUAGAUACCCCUGUAGUC